rnacentral:rRNA from 1 species
UACGUAGGGGGCAAGCGUUGUCCGGAAUCAUUGGGCGUAAAGAGCGCGUAGGCGGCCAGGUAGGUCUGGUGUGAAAACUCGAGGCUUAACCUCGAGAUGUCAUCGGAAACCAUUUGGCUAGAGUCCGGAAGAGGAGAGUGGAAUUCCUGGUGUAGCGGUGAAAUGCGCAGAUAUCAGGAAGAACACCAAUGGCGAAAGCAGCUCUCUGGGACGGUACUGACGCUGAGACGCGAAAGCGUGGGGAGCGAACAGG